rnacentral:lncRNA from 1 species
GAGAUAGUGAGUUCAGUUAGUGAGGAAAUCCUGCUCACUAGUACUUGCCAGUUGGUCUGAUGACUGCGAAGAUGCCUUCAACCUAUAUGUGCCUCUUCUUCCUCGUUCUUCUAGGAGUCUCUAAUGCAGACAACAUCAAUAGUUCCUUCAGUCUCUCUGAUGAAACCCCUUCAACAACUGCUAUUACAAGCGAGGCCAUAAACAGGACAGAUAGUUUCAGCCUUAACGCCAGCACUCCGAGAAAUAACGCCGAGGUGGAAACAGCUGAAACGCAAACAGCAGCAGCACCAACAGCAACAACAAGAGCAGCAACAAGAGCAGCAACAACAGCAGCACCAGCCAGUCAGACCACAUCGAAAGUCACCACCAGGCCGAGCUUCAUGAGCACCACCACCGCAGCACUAAAAACUACCAAGUCCAUUGCUCCUGUUUCCAGGCGAGCAUCUACCACCAAGAGUACAGAAUACAAAAAGAAUAACAGCCAUUAUGGAUAUGUGAUUUUAGUUGUUAUCAUAAUUGUCAUCUUCAUCGUGAUACUGAGUUUCUUCAUUUGCAAUAAGAAAAAGCAAUAUUCGCUUAAUUCCCAAAAUGCACCCCAAGAGGAUACUGGUAUCCCAUUAAAUGCUAUGGAUCAAGAGGCCUUUGAAUCUGUGUCACCUAAAGAGCCGAAAACAAUUGUCACCAACGAGACAGAGGCUGCUCCUGAGAGACCCAAAUCGGAGGCUGGAGGAGAGAAGCCAGAGGAAGACAAAACAGAGGAUUAAACAGAAGUGGUUUCAAAAGAGUGUGACACAAAGAAGGCCAAAAUCUUCAUCCAAACCACUUCCUCUUCUGAAAGUGCAGUUGAAGAAGGGAGAGGUCCUUCCUUCUGUAGUCAGUUUUCUCAAUGUUAGGCAGGAAAACAAAUGUUUAUGCUCAUAGAAAGCUGGGUUUUGGUAAUAGAAUGAAUACAUUAACAUUGUAUUAAGCUUUAUUAAACAAAAUAAAUACCUGAAUACUUCUCUAAUCUGUGAUUGU